UACUAGCCCAAUGCUCUUCCAACUGAGCUACCGUCCUGACCGCGUAGCUCAGUUGGAAGAGCAUUGGGCUAGUA
rnacentral:miRNA from 1 species